UUCAUCACCAAAUGCCUGCCGACGUUGUCGGCGACAUGCCCAGAUAGCCCGCGGUCUUCAAGGCUAUGGCGCGGUUUCGACCGCGUUGACUGCACGCCAGUUCGCCACGCAUCCCCCGAGCGAACGGUCAUCCGCGCAAGCGGUGGCGGAUGC
rfam:Pseudomonas alkylphenolica strain KL28 chromosome, complete genome.